AUAUUUUGAAUUAAGUAUAUUCAUAAUAUGUUAUCAGACGAAUGUUGUUAAAGAUAUAGGUUGAUAUUUGUGAAGGGAAAGAGUUGCCUCUCUCCCAACAAACAUUGCACACAAGGUGGAUAUGGAUUUUUAAAGAGUGCAGUAAAACACUUAUUAUGAAUGAUCCUUCCGCAGGUUCACCUACGGAAA
rnacentral:misc_RNA from 1 species